rnacentral:lncRNA from 13 species
GCACUGCCUGCUCCUAGAGCAGGUCCAAAGAUCCCUGCAGAAGUUCUCUUGGGGAGAAAGUUUGGAGUCAACCUGGGGGCGUUUCCCAAGUCUCCACUGGAGGGGCCUCCACAGCCCUUCCCUUUCCUGUCUCUCCCGUGUAUACCCUCCCACAGGGGCGCAGAGGGGCGCCCACACGAGUCCGGCCUGACCCAUCAAGCCCGGGUGGACGUGGCUGCGGCCUCUGUCCCCGCCCCACGCCGGGCGCCCCCGCUCACCAUUGAGCUGGUUGUAGACCACCUCCUCCAGGUGGUCCAGGCGCUGCAGGAUGGCCUCGCGCUCCCCCAGCGCGCCCACCUUGGCGUGCCGGCUGCGCACCCGGCGGUCGGCGGCGCCCACGAUGCGCACGAGCUCCCGGGAGCGGCCCUGCAGGCGGCAGUACACGGAGAACAGGACGAUGCCCACGAACACCAGGAUGUUGACCGUCAGCAAAGUUUUGAUCUUCCUGGCCACCGCCAUGAACGCGGCUGCGGGCGGGGGCGCCUCACCCGCGGGGCAUCUCCGGCCUCCCCGCCCGACCUCGGCUUCGGGGACCAGGAGCCUCCCGGGGCUGGGGCGCGGGGCUGGGCCGGGAGCUGUCCCUUCAGCACCAGCUCAGCGCGCCCGGCCACUGCCUCCCGGGGUCCCCGCGCGCAGGGGGCUGCCCGGGGCUGGGGGCGCGGGCGCGGCCGGCAUCCCCCGCAGAGAGUCCCGCCCCGGGGGGCGCGGGGGGCGGCGAGGGCGGCGCAAGCGGGCGGCGCUGGGUGGCUGUGCAGGCUCCUGCCCGCCCCGCAGCCACCGCGCCGGUGCGGAGUGACGCGGCCCCGCGCUCCGCUCAUCUGCAUGCGCGCCCCGCCCGCCCCAGCCCCGCCCGCCCCGCGCCCCCCGGGACCGCCCCCCGCGCGCCCGCGCCCCGGGGGACCCCGGCACGGCCGGUUUGGGGGUGCGGAGGGGGGCGCGGGGUGGGAGCCAGGGCCACGGGCAGGCGGGUGCGGGGAGGGGGGCGGGGCGGGCGGGCGCGGACCCUUCCUCUCUCCCCAGGACCCUCCCGACGCCCGGGGCUCCCGGCGGCCAUAG